rfam:Angiostrongylus costaricensis strain Costa Rica genome assembly, scaffold: ACOC_scaffold0002272
GCAGCGAUGUCCGAGUGGAUAAGGAGGUUGAAUAGAAAUCAAUUGGGCUCUGCCCGCGUAGGUUAGAAUACUUCUCGCCGCG